CAGUCGCCGCGGGAAUACGUAGGUGGCAAGCGUUGUCCGGAAUAACUGGGCGUAAAGGGCACGCAGGCGGUUAUUUAAGUGAGGUGUGAAAGCCCCGGGCUUAACCUGGGAAUUGCAUUUCAGACUGGGUAACUAGAGUACUUUAGGGAGGGGUAGAAUUCCACGUGUAGCGGUGAAUGCGUAGAGAUGUGGAGGAAUACCGAAGGCGAAGGCAGCCCCUUGGGAAUGUACUGACGCUCAUGUGCGAAAGCGUGGGGAGCAAACAGGAUUAGAUACCCCCGUAGUCCCUGUCUCUUAUACA
rnacentral:rRNA from 1 species